rnacentral:lncRNA from 1 species
UUCAAACCCUAGGAAUAGCUGUCACCUGAAGGACCUGAGCCCUAGGACCAUGCCUCAAGACUACCUGGCAUGAUGACUCCUUGCUGUCCCCAGUCCACCUAGCCGUGCUGCUGCUCCAGUUUCAACUGUUCUGCCCGCGGCUAUGGAACCCUGACCUGUUCACCGGACGUGCUACCUGUCCCAGACCUGCUGUUUUCAACUCUCUAGAGACAGCAGGAGCGGUAGAGAUACUCUCAAUGAUUGGCUAUGAAAAGCCAACUGACAUUUACUCCAGAGGUGCUGACCUGUUGCACCCUCGACAACUACUGUGAUUAUUAUUAUUUGACCAUGCUGGUCAUCUAUGAACAUUUUAACCUCUUGGCCGUGUUCUGUCAUAAUCUCCACCCAGCACAGCCAGAAGAGGACUGGCCACCCCUCAUAGCCUGGUUCCUCUCUAGGUUUCUUCCUAGGUUUUGGCCUUUCUAGGGAGUUUUUCCUAGCCACCGUGCUUCUACACCUGCAUUGCUUGCUGUUUGUGAACAGCAUGUGAGCAUGUGAGCAUGUGAACAGCUCUCUCCUGGCCUGCAGCCCAUCAGUCUUCCACAGGGCCUUGAUCAAUGGGGCCGAGACGCUGCAGCCGAGACACCAGUCAUCCUCGUUACUGACACCACUAGGCUAGCAGUAGUGGUACGCCGGGCUGGGUGGCUGCUGUUUGGCUCUGUCUCUGCUCUCUCUCUUCCACUCGAGAGAGCAAGGCACUCUGUACUAGACUACUACAGUACUUCAGUCACAGAGAGCAAGGCACUCCGUACUAGACUACUACUGUACUUCAGUCACAGAGGGCAAGGCACUCCGUACUAGACUACUACUCUACUUCAGUCACAGAGAGCAAGGCACUCCGUACUAGACUACUACAGUACUUCAGUCACAGAGAGCAAGGCACUCUGUACUAGACUACUACAGUACUUCAGUCACAGAGAGCAAGGCACUCCGUACUAGAGUACUACAGUACUUCAGUCACAGAGAGCAAGGCACUCCGUACUAGACUACUACUGUACUUCAGUUACAGAGAGCAAGGCACUCUGUACUAGACUACUACUGUACUUCAGUCACAGAGAGCAAGGCACUCCGUACUAGACUACUUCAGUCACAGAGAGCAAGGCAUUCCGUACUAGACUACUACUGUACUUCAGUCACAGAGAGCAAGGCACUCCGUACUAGACUACUACUGUGCUUCAGUCACAGAGAGCAAGGC